rfam:Treponema maltophilum ATCC 51939 genomic scaffold aczIZ-supercont-complete, whole genome shotgun sequence.
GGGGAUAUAGCUCAGCUGGCUAGAGCAUCGGCUUUGCAAGCCGAGGGUCAGGGGUUCGAAUCCCCUUAUCUCCA